UCAGCAUUCUUUAUAGUCCAACUCUCACAUCCAUACGCCUCUGUUAAUUGUUGUUGCUGCUGCUGCUGAGGUGAUUACGUUCUACUUUUCGUCACUGAGGAUACACCCAUCUUCACACACUAACACAAAAGGCUUUUGAAUUUUCCCCGUUUUUCAACUUGCUGAAAACAUCUCGGCUUCCCAUAGAGGCAGCUCUCAAAAUUCUUCUCUUUCCCUUAAGUUGUGUGAAACACUAACUUAGGACAGGCAGAAAGCAGCUCUGCUCCCGAGGAAGUCAAAGAGAUUUAAAGGCAUCAAAAGGCAGAGAAAGGAAGCACAGCUGGACAGAAAGACCAACAGACCCAAAACGGACUGGGGCGGGGGUGAGGGGAGGCAAGGCUCCGCCCCCUCUGGCCCCGCCCCUACGUACCUGAGCUUCCGGCCUCGUCCCACCCUCCCCCCUUACGUCGCCUCUCGUUGGCCACGGCUGUAGCGCUUUCACCUUCCUCUGUACCGGAUUUUCCGCCCGCGCGUGCGCAGUAUCCGGCAAGACGGAAUUGAGUUUGAAUGAGCGACAGAGAGUUAAGAAUCCCUGCUGUGCCAGUGGCCGUGGAGGAUUGUGGUUUGUACCUGUUGAGAUCCUCCCUCUGUGUGGGGCUGCGUUGCAGGGAGCUCGCUGUGGUUUUCGAAGUAUUGAACAGCCUAUUUUCAACACUCGGGUCGCUUCCCAAGACUGAUCUUACCUGAGAAGGAAGACCAGAGGAGAAGGAAAGCAGAGUCAGAAAUGACUCGUUCCCAGGCUAAUUCUCUGGAGCGUGGAAACCUGCCGAGCUCACUCUCUCACCCGGGCUUUCAAGACUUCCUCGAGAGGAUGCUCUGUGCCUUCGAGCCUGGAUGUUGCCUCUGAGCUAUCCCAAGAGUGCCUUCCUCGUUUCAGGGAAUCACGAAUCGGGACGGCUGACAUUCCAGGAUGUGGCCAUAGACUUCACUCAAGAGGAGUGGGAAUGCCUGGACCUCGGUCAGCGGGAAUUAUACAGGGACGUGUUGGUAGAGAACUACGCAAACCUGGCCUCCUUGGGGCUUGUGUCUAAGCUGGACCUGGUCACCUUUCUGGAACAAUUGAAGGAUCCCAGGAAUAUAAAGAGAGUGGAGACAACAACCAAUUACCCAGCUAUGACUCCACAGGACACCCAGGAUUUGAUGCCGAAGAAUCCAACGUUAGAAGAUGUAUUCCCAAAAGCAAGCCUAGGAAUAUGUCAAAUAUUUCACCUCAGAAACUUAAAUUUAAUGAAAGCCUGGGAAUAUACGAAAGUAUAUAAAAGACAGAGAGAAUGCAUAUACGGACAUAAAGAAAUGGAGACAGUCAUGCAGAAUGCUAACAUUACUGCAAAAAGAAAUGAGCAAUGUGAGUCAAAUUGGGAAAAACACCCACUUCAGUUUUCCACAUCUGCCGAGACGUGUACGUGUUUAAGAAAAGAUUUCCAUCCCUUUUUGAAACAUACAUGUUCUCUAAAAGGAAGUGUGGAAAAUCUGGAAGGUAAUCUAGUCUCUAGUGCAAAUCCUCAUUCAGACAAUUCUGAACCUAGGUUUCGACUAAACAUACAUUCAAGCAUGUCUGAACACCUGCAAUUUAACAGUGAGUGGGAAAACACACAAUCUAGUCAAUUUGAGGGACCUGUGAGCAGGGGCUCAUUUUUCUUCCCCCAACAAAUAUUUUCUCUCCAUUCCAAGAUAUAUAAUGUUGAUGAUAAUGGAAGAGAUGCAAUGCAACCAUCAUUGUUGAAUACAUAUUGUGAUAAGGUUAAUACACAACAACAUUGCAUGUGCAAUAAAAUGAGUCAGACCUUAAGUAAGAGCUCCAGCUCCAAUAAUUACAAGAGUAUUUUUGGUGGACUGAGAAGGUAUUCAGGCAAUGAACCUGGGUAUACGGUUGAAGGAAACUCCAGCCUUAAGAAUCAUCAGGGACCCGAAUCUUCAAACAAGGAUUCUAGAAGUAAUAAAUGUAGAAAUGCCUUUGAUGAAAUGUCAGGUUUUUCUCUCGAUAAGAGUACUUGUACUGAAGAGAGGACUUGUACUGAAUAUGGUAAGGUUUCUAGUCAGUCUUCAGAACUUAUUCAACAGCACACUGUUCAGAAUCCACAGAAAGAAAACAAGUGUAAGAUAUGUGGGAAAGUGUUUAGUAAGCCAUCCAAUCUAAAUAAACAUAGGAAAAUUCAUACAGGAAGGAAACCUUUCAAAUGUACAGAAUGUAGCAAAGCGUUUAAACGUCACUCAAUUCUUACUCAACAUCAUCGAAUUCAUACUGGAGAGAAACCUUAUAAAUGCACAGAAUGUAGCAAAGCCUUUACUUACAAUUCAAGUCUUAUUCAACAUCGGAGGAUUCAUACUGGAGAGAAACAUAAAUGUACAGAAUGUAGCAAAGCCUUUGUCUGUUACUCACAACAAAUGGAUCAUCAGCGAACUCAUACUGGAGAGAAGCCUUAUAAAUGUAAAGAAUGUAACAAAGCCUUUCAUAGUCGCUCACUUCUCACUCGACAUCAGCGAAUUCAUUCUGGGGAGAGACCUUAUAAAUGUAAAGAAUGUAACAAAGCCUUUUUUCAGUGCUCACAUCUUACUCAACAUCAGAAAAUUCAUACUGGAGAGAGACCUUAUAAAUGUAAAGAAUGUAACAAAGCCUUUAUUCAAUACUCAUCUCUAACCUACCAUCAGCGAAUUCAUACUGGAGAGAGACCUUAUAAAUGUAAAGAAUGUAACAAAGCCUUUAUCCGUUGCUCACAUCUUACCCAACAUCAGCAAAUUCAUACUGGAGAGAAAGCUUAUCGUUGUGCAGAGUGUGGCCAAACCUUUAUUUGUCAUUCAGAGUUAAUUGUACAUCAUCGAAUCCAUAAUGGGGAGAAACCAUACAAAUGUAAAGAAUGUGGCAAAGCCUUUAUUACGAAUUCGGCCCUUACUCAACAUCACCAAAUUCAUACCGCGGAUAGAUGUUAUAAAUGUAGAGAAUGUGGCAAGGCUUUUAUUAAGGGUUCUAGUCUUACUAAACAUCAGCGAAUCCAUACUGGGGAGAGACCAUAUUCGUGUACUGAAUGUGGCAAAGCCUUUGCUUACAACUCAACGCUUACUCAACAUCGGCGAAUUCAUACUGGCGAGAGACCUCAUAAAUGUAAAGAAUGUAACAAAGCCUUUCCUCGUCUCUCACUUCUUACUCAACAUCAGCGAGUGCAUACCGGAGAGAGACCUUAUAAAUGUACUGAAUGUGACAAAGCCUUUGGUCGCAACUCAACGCUUACUAAACAUCAGCGAAUUCAUACUGGAGAGAGACCUUAUAAAUGUACAGAAUGUGGCAAAGCUUUUAGUCAGAGUGGUCAUCUCGCUAAACAUCUCAGAAGACACUGGAGAGAAACCCUAGUAAUGGAACAUGUGAUGGAAUAGGUUUUCCCUAAACAUGCCUCAGAAAACACAAGAGUUUAUAUAAGAAACCUAUGGAGAUGAUGUAACAAAUAUGUCAAAAGGUAUUUAAUCAAAUGUUAAAUUGAAAUUAAUAUCAGGGAUUACAUACUAGAAGGCAUGUCAUCAAUCCUCUUUUCUGAAUUUUCUCUGCAGGAGAAUGACUGUAGGGAGUACUCCAUAGUUAAACACAUAGAAAAUGGAUAUAUUAGCAUGAAUCAUGAGAUGAACGUUGAUGGUUAGGACGUUCCAAUUCUUAGCAAAGUAUGUAUGCUUGUUUAUAAUGACAUGAACUGAGAUUAUUUGAAGUGAAUGUAACUCAGCACUCAAAUAAUCCAUACUAUGCCUUCUUUCUAGUGUGUUUGCAAACCUAGGUUUUUGGUGGUUUAUUAAAGAUUAGCCUUUUCAUAUUGUGUUGCAACCAUUUCUGUCUAUCCUCGAUUAGAAGAUGACAGGUACCAUGAUGUAGAAUGGACAGUGACCAUCUAAAUGGAGGUGUCUGUCAUUGAUGUGAAAUAUCUGGAAGUUGCCAUGAUGUCAGUGAUCUUUUAAUCUUUCCAUGUAUUAAAGUAAAACAGAAGUUGCUGGUAAAGUU